GUAGGUGGGUUUGUAAGUCAGAUGUGAAAGCCUUCUGUUCAACGGAAGAAUUGCAUCUGAAACUGCUAAUCUUGAGUAUAGGAGGGGAGAAUGGAACUUCUGGUGGAGCGGUGAAAUGCGUAGAUAUCAGAAGGAACGCCGGCGGCGAAAGCGAUUCUCUGGCCUAUUACUGACACUCAGUGUGCGAAAGCUAGGGGAGCAAACGGGAUUAGAUACCCCGGUAGUCCUAGCCGUAAACGAUGGGCACUAAGUAG
rnacentral:rRNA from 1 species